rnacentral:rRNA from 1 species
AACGAACGCUGGCGGCAUGCCUAACACAUGCAAGUCGAACGAAGAGUUCGGACUUAUGGGCGCACGGCUUCGGAACGCGUGGGAAGCGUCCCUUGGGUACGGAAUAACUCAGAGAAAUGUGUGCUAAUACCGUAUAAUGUCUUCGGACCAAAGAUUUAUCGCCCAAGGAUGAGCCCGCGUAAGAUUCGCUAGUUGGUGGGGUAAAAGCCUACCAAGGCGACGAUCUUUAGCUGGUCUGAGAGGAUGAUCAGCCACACUGGGAGUGAGAAACGGCCCAGACUCCUACGGGAGGGGGCAGUGGGGAAUAUUGGAACAUGGGCGAAAGCCUGAUCCAGCAAUGACGCGUGAGUGCUGAAGGCCGUAGGGUUGUAAAGCUCUUUUACCAGUGAUGAUCAUGACGGUACCUGGAGAAUAAGCCCCGGCUAACUACGCG